UACGUAGGGUGCAAGCGUUAAUCGGAAUUACUGGGCGUAAAGCGUGCGCAGGCGGCUUUGCAAGACAGAUGUGAAAUCCCCGGGCUUAACCUGGGAACUGCAUUUGUGACUGCAAGGCUGGAGUGCGGCAGAGGGGGAUGGAAUUCCGCGUGUAGCAGUGAAAUGCGUAGAUAUGCGGAGGAACACCGAUGGCGAAGGCAGUCCCCCUGGGCCUGUGACUGACGCUCAUGCACGAAAGCGUGGGGAGCAAACAGG
rnacentral:rRNA from 1 species